UAGGGAAUAUUGGGCAAUGGAGGCAACUCUGACCCAGCCAUGCCGCGUGCAGGAAGAAGGCGUUAUGCGUUGUAAACUGCUUUUAUAUAGGGAAGAAAUAGUCCUUGCGAGGAAAGUUGACGGUACUAUAUGAAUAAGCACCGGCUAACUCCGUGCCAGCAGCCGCGGUAAUACGGAGGGUGCAAGCGUUGUCCGGAUUUAUUGGGUUUAAAGGGUGCGUAGGCGGUUUAUUAAGUCAGUGGUGAAAGACGGUCGCUCAACGAUUGCAGUGCCAUUGAUACUGGUAGACUUGAGUGGGAUUGAGGUAGCUGGAAUGGAUAGUGUAGCGGUGAAAUGCAUAGAUAUUAUCCAGAACACCAAUUGCGUAGGCAAGUUACUAAGUCUCAACUGACGCUGAGGCACGAAAGUGUGGGUAUCAAACAGGAUUAGAUACCCUCUGAACUCCAAAGGCACACAGGGGAUA
rnacentral:rRNA from 1 species